rnacentral:tRNA from 1 species
GGAGGGGUGUCCGAGCGGUUGAAGGAGCCGCACUCGAAAUGCGGUGGGCGGGCAAAAACUCGUCUCGUGGGUUCGAAUCCCACCCCCUCCGCCA